rnacentral:rRNA from 1 species
AUUGAACGCUGGCGGCAGGCUUAACACAUGCAAGUCGAGCGGGGUGAUGGUGCUUGCACUAUCACUUAGCGGCGGACGGGUGAGUAAUGCUUAGGAAUCUGCCUAUUAGUGGGGGACAACAUCUCGAAAGGGAUGCUAAUACCGCAUACGUCCUACGGGAGAAAGCAGGGGAUCACUUGUGACCUUGCGCUAAUAGAUGAGCCUAAGUCGGAUUAGCUAGUUGGUGGGGUAGAGGCCUACCAAGGCGACGAUCUGUAGCGGGUCUGAGAGGAUGAUCCGCCACACUGGGACUGAGACACGGCCCAGACUCCUACGGGAGGCAGCAGUGGGGAAUAUUGGACAAUGGGGGGAACCCUGAUCCAGCCAUGCCGCGUGUGUGAAGAAGGCCUUAUGGUUGUAAGGCACUUUAAGCGAGGAGGAGGCUCUUUUGGUUAAUACCCAAGAUGAGUGGACGUUACUCGCAGAAUAAGCACCGGCUAACUCUGUGCCAGCCGCCGCAGUAA